CCUACGGGAGGCAGCAGUGGGGAAUAUUGGACAAUGGGGGAAACCCUGAUCCAGCAAUGCCGCGUGUGUGAAGAAGGCCUUCGGGUUGUAAAGCACUUUCAGUAGGGAAGAUAAUGACGGUACCUACAGAAGAAGCACCGGCUAACUCCGUGCCAGCAGCCGCGGUAAU
rnacentral:rRNA from 1 species